rnacentral:tRNA from 1 species
AAAAAAAUAAGCUAACUAAGCUACUGGGUUCAUACCCCAUUUAUAAAGGUCUUAAUCCUUUUUUUUUUA